UUGGAGGGCAAGUCUGGUGCCAGCAGCCGCGGUAAUUCCAGCUCCAAUAGCGUAUAUUAAAGUUGUUGCAGUUAAAAAGCUCGUAGUUGAAUUUCGGGGUCAGUAGAUUGGUCGUGCCACUGGUAUGUACUGGUCUCACUGGCUCCUCCUUCCUGAUGAACCGUAAUGCCAUUAAUUUGGUGUUGCGGGGAGACUGGACUGUUACUUUGAAAAAAUUAGAGUGUUUAGAGCAGGCUAACGCUUGAAUACAUUAGCAUGGAAUAAUGAAAUAGGACGUUCGAUCUUAUUUUGUUGGUUUCUAAGAUUGACGUAAUGAUUAAUAGGGAUAGUUGGGGGCAUUAGUAUUCAAUUGUCAGAGGUGAAAUUCUUGGAUUUAUUGAAGACUAACUACUGCGAAAGCAUUUGCCAAGGAUGUUUUCAUUAAUCAAGAACGAAAGUUAGGGGAUCGAAGACGAUCAGAUACCGUCGUAGUCUUAACCAUAAACUAUGCCGACUAGGGAUCGGAUGAUGUUAAUUUUUUAAUGACUCAUUCGGCGCCUUACGGGAAA
rnacentral:rRNA from 1 species